rnacentral:miRNA from 1 species
AUGGGGUGAGAUGGGGAGGAGCAGC